AUGCUGCAUAAUUUCAUAUUUCUGUACCAAUGUAAGCUCAAAUAAAUGGGGAAAAUAUUUCUAAAACUAGAAUUGCUUCAAAUCAAAACAUUUUCUCACAGAUUAAGAGCGACUCGAUCAUGCUACAAACCCAAGCUUAUUGCUCCAUAGUUGAAAGAAAGUAAUUGAAGAAAUGUGAUGUGAUCCGAGAUAGGCCACAAAUUACCAAGGAUUUGAUGAUUGUUGGGCAGAGUCCUAAGCCACAUUCGAGACCUCUGGAAGCUAAUAAAACCAUGCAGAAUACAUGUUCAAGUUAUGGAGUUCAAAUUGAAAAGGUAAACAAGCCAAAUUCCAAGUGCAAUGUGGGGAUGUCGAAGGCUGAAACAACUUGGAGGCAAUGCAAUUCAAGAAGUUGGAAAGGGGCCUGCUGUAAAGUCAUGCGACCGCAAGGCUUUAAAGCCUCAUGCAGUCACAUAAGAGGAAGCAGAAAAAAUGUUCGGCAACAAGAGUUGAUCCAUGCGACCGCACGGUAUAAAUCCGGGGAAAAUUUUCCUUUCUCGUGCGAGAAUCCUAUUUUGAUUAAAACACUUAUUUUUGGCAACUUUUAUAUUCCUAGGACUUUUAAAUUCCGUUUCAAUAUUUCUGAGGUUUAUAUAAAUAGGAUUUAUUUUCAUUCAUUGUAAUCAACUUUGAUAUUUUGAGAUAAAUUAUACAAGGGGUUGUUUGCUUCCACUUUCUUGUUCUUAAUUGAACAAUUUGAACUUAUCAAGAUUAACCAUCUUGUGGCCUUCACAAAUCCGGGUGAUAUUCAAUCAUUGUGUGAUCAAGAGGUCGAUAAAUUCUAUUUUAUUGGUUGCUUGAAAUAAGUUCAGCCAAACAUGCUCUUACAUGGAGGACAGCAAUAUCAACAAAAGGAGAAAUGAGAGUUUUAAUUCAUGUUUAUCAUAAUUAACUACUGGGAACUAUUUAUGUACUUUUGGAGUUGAAGAUGUUACCUGUGAGUCUUCCGGCAAGGUACAGAGCUUCUUCAGCAAUUGGUCUCCAAUGUUCUGCGCAUGAAUAGUUAACCCAAAGUCCAACACUAAGUCCUCUCAAUAAACGUACUAUAUGAAGAACACAGGAGUUCCUCCGGGAAAGCCUAAUAUCACCACAACAUAAUAAGGAAAUCGGAUUCUUGAAAAUACAUAUUUUUGUCCCCUUCUAACAGCUUAAGUUUUAGAAGAGUAAUUCACCGUGAUAUCAGAACAUCCAAACGUCCAUAAUCACGUCUUAU
rnacentral:lncRNA from 1 species